rnacentral:rRNA from 1 species
GAUUAAGUGAUAUAAGGGCAUUUGGUGGAUGCCUUGGCAUGCACAGGCGAUGAAGGACGUGAUACGCUGCGAUAAGCCGUGGGGAGCUGCGAAUAAGCUUUGAUCCAUGGACCUCCGAAUGGGGAAACCCACCUUAAAUGCUUGGGAAAUCGAGCGUGCCUGAUGGCACGCGGUCAGUAGGAAUUAGGCAGUGGGCAGUAGUGGCGACACUAUUGGCUAAUGCCUAUUGACUAUUGGCUUCGCGUCUUCGACGCGCUCGGUUUCCAAGCAUUGAUAAUAAGGUAUCUUACCCUGAAUACAUAGGGUGUAAGAAGCGAACGCAGGGAACUGAAACAUCUAAGUACCUGCAGGAAAGGACAUCAACCGAGACUCCGCAAGUAGUGGC